UACGGAGGGAGCUAGCGUUGUUCGGAAUUACUGGGCGUAAAGGGCGCGUAGGCGGCUCUGAUCGUCGGAUGUGAAAGGCCUGGGCUCAACCUGGGAAUGGCAUCCGAUACGGCGGGGCUGGAGUGUGGGAGAGGUUGGUGGAAUUCCCAGUGUAGAGGUGAAAUUCGUAGAUAUUGGGAAGAACACCGGUGGCGAAGGCGGCCAACUGGACCACAACUGACGCUGAGGUGCGAAAGCGUGGGGAGCGAACAGG
rnacentral:rRNA from 1 species